rnacentral:rRNA from 1 species
AAGUCGAGGGGCAGCAUGAACUUAGCUUGCUAAGUUUGAUGGCGACCGGCGCACGGGUGAGUAACACGUAUCCAACCUGCCGAUGACUCGGGGAUAGCCUUUCGAAAGAAAGAUUAAUACCCGAUGGCAUAGUUCUUCCGCAUGGUUUUACUAUUAAAGAAUUUCGGUUAUCGAUGGGGAUGCGUUCCAUUAGAUAGUAGGCGGGGUAACGGCCCACCUAGUCUUCGAUGGAUAGGGGUUCUGAGAGGAAGGUCCCCACAUUGGAACUGAGACACGGUCCAAACUCC